AGCUGAAUGUAUAGGCUGGUUGGGGGGAACGCGGGGAAGUGAAACAUCUCAGUACCCGUAGGAGAAGAUAUUCCGUGAGUAGUGGCGAGCGAAAGCGGAUGAUGGUUAAACCGUGUGCGUGUGAUACUCGGCAGGGGUUGCGUGUGCGGGGUUGUGGGGCUGUCCUGUUUUCUCUUCUGCCGGAGAGGGGGCGCGUGUGCUGGCUGGUAGCUGAAUCGUCUGGGAAGGCGUGGCGUAGUGGGUGAUACCCCCGUAGGCGGAACUGGUUGGU
rnacentral:rRNA from 1 species